rnacentral:rRNA from 1 species
CCCUUAGAUGUCCUGGGCCGCACGCGCGUUACACUGAUGCAUUCAACGAGCUUAUAACCUUGGCCGAGAGGCCUGGGCAAUCUUGUUAACGUGCAUCGUGAUAGGGAUAGAUUAUUGAAAUUAUUAAUCUUGAACGAGGAAUUCCUAGUAAACGCAGAUCAUCAAUCUGCAUUGAUUACGUCCCUGCCCUUUGUACACACCGCCCGUCGCACCUACCGAUUGGAUGGUCCGGUGAAGCCUCGGGAUUGUGGUUCUUGCCGCUUUAUUGUGGCGUGACCGCGAGAACUUGUCUAAACCUUAUCAUCUAGAGGAUGGUGAAGUCGUAACA